AUUGAACGCUGGCGGCAGGCCUAACACAUGCAAGUCGAGCGAGCGGCGGACGGGUGAGUAAUGUCUGGGAAACUGCCUGAGGGGGGGGGAGAACUACUGGAAACGGUAGCUAAUACCGCAUACCAUCAGAUGUGCGCAGAUGGGAUUAGCUAGUAGGUGGGGUAACGGCCCACCUAGGCGACGAUCCCUAGCUGGUCUGAGAGGAUGACCAGCCACACUGGAACUGAGACACGGUCCAGACUCCUACGGGAGGCAGCAGUGGGGAAUAUUGGACAAUGGGCGCAAGCCUGAUACAGCCAUGCCGCGUGUGUGAAGAAGGCCUUCGGGUUGUAAAGCACUUUCAGCGGGGAGGCGUUACCCGCAGAAGAAGCACCGGCUAACUCCGUGCCAGCAGCCGCGGUAAUAC
rnacentral:rRNA from 1 species